GACGAACGCUGGCGGCGUGCUUAACACAUGCAAGUCGAACGGAAAGGCCCUGCUUUUGUGGGGUGCUCGAGUGGCGAACGGGUGAGUAACACGUGAGUAACCUGCCCUUGACUUUGGGAUAACUUCAGGAAACUGGGGCUCAUACCGGAUAGGAGCUCCUGCUGCUUGGUGGGGGUUGGAACGUUUCGGCGGUUGGGGAUGGACUCGCGGCUUAGCAGCUUGUUGGUGGGGUAGUGGCUUACCAAGGCUUUGACGGGUAGCCGGCCUGAGAGGGUGACCGGCAACAUUGGGACAGAGAUACGGCCCAGACUCCUACGGGAGGCAGCAGUGGGGAAUAGUGCACAAUGGGCGGAAGCCUGAUGCAGCAACGCCGCGUGCUGGAUGACGGCCUUCGGGUUGUAAACCGUUUUCGCCUGUGACGAAGCGUGAGUGACGGUAAUGGGUAAAGAAGCACCGGCUAACUACGUG
rnacentral:rRNA from 1 species